UCGACGAACUUCCGUUAAUUGAUUAUGACGUACUUGUACUGAUUGAGAUUUUAACACGAAGUGAGUGGCGAACGGGUGAGUAACACGUGGGUAACCUGCCCAGAAGUAGGGGAUAACACCUGGAAACAGAUGCUAAUACCGUAUAACAGAGAAAACCGCAUGGUUUUCUUUUAAAAGAUGGCUCUGCUAUCACUUCUGGAUGGACCCGCGGCGUAUUAGCUAGUUGGUGAGGUAAAGGCUCACCAAGGCAGUGAUACGUAGCCGACCUGAGAGGGUAAUCGGCCACAUUGGGACUGAGACACGGCCCAGACUCCUACGGGAGGCAGCAGUAGGGAAUCUUCCACAAUGGACGCAAGUCUGAUGGAGCAACGCCGCGUGAGUGAAGAAGGGUUUCGGCUCGUAAAGCUCUGUUGUUAAAGAAGAACGUGGGUAAGAGUAACUGUUUACCCAGUGACGGUAUUUAACCAGAAAGCCACGGCUAACUACGUGCCAGCAGCCGCGGUAAUACGUAGGUGGCAAGCGUUAUCCGGAUUUAUUGGGCGUAAAGCGAGCGCAGGCGGUCUUUUAAGUCUAAUGUGAAAGCCUUCGGCUCAACCGAAGAAGUGCAUUGGAAACUGGGAGACUUGAGUGCAGAAGAGGACAGUGGAACUCCAUGUGUAGCGGUGAAAUGCGUAGAUAUAUGGAAGAACACCAGUGGCGAAGGCGGCUGUCUGGUCUGCAACUGACGCUGAGGCUCGAAAGCAUGGGUAGCGAACAGGAUUAGAUACCCUGGUAGUCCAUGCCGUAAACGAUGAUUACUAAGUGUUGGAGGGUUUCCGCCCUUCAGUGCUGCAGCUAACGCAUUAAGUAAUCCGCCUGGGGAGUACGACCGCAAGGUUGAAACUCAAAAGAAUUGACGGGGGCCCGCACAAGCGGUGGAGCAUGUGGUUUAAUUCGAAGCUACGCGAAGAACCUUACCAGGUCUUGACAUCUUCUGACAGUCUAAGAGAUUAGAGGUUCCCUUCGGGGACAGAAUGACAGGUGGUGCAUGGUUGUCGUCAGCUCGUGUCGUGAGAUGUUGGGUUAAGUCCCGCAACGAGCGCAACCCUUAUUACUAGUUGCCAGCAUUAAGUUGGGCACUCUAGUGAGACUGCCGGUGACAAACCGGAGGAAGGUGGGGACGACGUCAAAUCAUCAUGCCCCUUAUGACCUGGGCUACACACGUGCUACAAUGGAUGGUACAACGAGUCGCGAGACCGCGAGGUUAAGCUAAUCUCUUAAAACCAUUCUCAGUUCGGACUGUAGGCUGCAACUCGCCUACACGAAGUCGGAAUCGCUAGUAAUCGCGGAUCAGCAUGCCGCGGUGAAUACGUUCCCGGGCCUUGUACACACCGCCCGUCACACCAUGAGAGUUUGUAACACCCAAAGCCGGUGGGGUAACC
rnacentral:rRNA from 1 species